rnacentral:tRNA from 1 species
GGGGUUGUGGCUCAGUGGUAGAGCGCUCGCCUAGUACAGGCGAGACCCUGGGUUCGAUCCCCAACACCA